rnacentral:lncRNA from 1 species
ACCAUUCAUCCAAAAAAUUUAAGCAACAAACAGAUCUUCUCACCAACUGCACUUAUCAUAGUUGGCUAAGAACUUUGAUGAUUAAUAUUCAAAGUUCACCGACUGUCCCGAGUGCAAGUGACAAAGGGCUUGGUGGUUGAUACCCGAGUACCCAAGUUCGAAUCAUAGUUGAUUCACAUUUCUAGCUAAGUUUAUUUUUAAAUGAAAUAAACGAAACGGAUAGUAUGCUACCUAUUUCUAAAAAAAAUAUAUAUAUAUUCGAAGUUCUGAAUUCGAUCUCUAGUAGCUUCAUAUUUUUAGUUAAAUUUAUUUAUAAAAAAUAAAUAAAAUGUAUAGCAUAUUAUUUUUUUCCGCAUCAUUAUCAAUAGCAUCAAGCACAUGGUGUAGAAAUAUUAUUUGCCUAGUGAUCGAAGGGGCUCAAAAUCAAUAAUUUUAAUGGCCGUAGUGAGCCAUUUGCAAGUUUAACGGUGCAGAAAUAUUCAAAUCAUGUGAAAUUUUGAUAGAAAAUUCUUUAUAUUAAAUAAAACAAGAUCAAUUUUUUUGAUCUAAAAUUUUAAUGUCAUAUUAUCACAUUUUGUAAGAUUUUUAUUUUCAGCCGUUGAUUUUGAGCCCCUUCAUUUACUAGGCAAAUAAUAUCGAAAAAUCGCAUAAUUUAUUUUCUAGGUACUUCAAAUACUCUAGAUCAAGUUUUACUGAGCCGAUCGACGAUUCGAAAGUCGCAAUAUGAAAAACGUCCUGGAAGCACGGAAGGCUCCAUGCUUCCAGAAGCAUAGUAGCCUCACUCAUAUAUAUGUGUGUGUGUGUGUGUGUGUGUAUAUAUAUAUAUAUAGAGUCCGGCUACUUUACUAUUAUGAGUACGAUCGCCCUUUACUCAUAAGU